CCCCGAAAACCUAGCUACUCUUCCUCAUCUCUCUCUCUCCCCCAUCGCUCUCUCCCAAAAUCCCCUCCUGGCGGCGCCUCCUCCGGCCGCGUGGAUGACGGCAGCACGCGCUGGCCGCUCUCCCCCUAGCUCCCCGAGCACUGGAGCCGGAGGACCCGGGGCUCGCGCAUCCAGCCACGGCAGGAUCCAGCGGCGCGGAGCUCCUGGCCCCCCAGCUCGCGGAGCUCCGGCGCAGGCAGCCUGACUCCCCGAGGCGAGCCCAGCCGUUGCGUCCUCCCUCGCCACCCACCACUGCAGCUAGGAGGACGCUGCUGCCAAGGAGGAUCCUCUUCUCAGAUCCGCCGCGCCCGUCCUCAACUCACCCCGUAACAACGACGGGUGGUCGGAUCCACAAACUCCUCCACGAUUCCACAAUGGUAGCCUGGGCGUCGAGGACCUUCUUCGCCGCGGCUCCUGCGGCGGUGUCCUAGGCGGAGCCCCCUUCCAUGGCUGCGGCUCGCCGGGGACUACGCCUACCUCCUCUCCAGGGUCCGUCACCACAAGGUAGGGAGCAAAAGCGUGGUGUUUUCGAUUUCGUUGGUUUUUCUGGCGGCCAUUCCAGUGCGUAGAUCCAGCGGCCUGCAACCUGUUCGAGCAAAUGCCUAAAUGGUAUGUUGCGUAUUUUGCAGCUUCUUUGUUUUCUUAUCUGCACAUUCAGUUGUCUCAUGGAUAUACAUUGGUAAGUUUCCAUGGGAACCUUUGUUUUUUUAGACUAGGAUAUACAAUGGUAAGUUUCCAUGAAAGCACAAGUACUGUUGCUUGAUUGCUUCUCUAGCCAGAAUCAAGUUGUUAGUCCCACCAUUUCCAGUUGAAUCCCCUGCUGGUAUGUGCGUUUUGCUUUCAGUAGUCAUUGCACAAGCUGCACUUGCACGCCUAGGCUCAAUAUUCAGCAUUUUAAAGUUGAUUAACAUCCUUGCGACAUUUCUGUAGCUUUGUGCAAGCUGCGAUGCUAUGUCAUCUUAAGAAUUUACCUUGUUACUACAUUUCAAAGUUGAUUAACGGCCUUGCGACAUUUCCAGUUGAUUAACUACCAUGUGUCAAGAAUUUAACCUUGAUACUACAAUUUUUCAUGUCUAGCAUGUCCAUCUUUUAAUGCCUAUGUCCUUUUUUUUUUUGCUUUCAGGAUUCAGACGAUCUCAUUAGGAAACAAAGGGUAAUAUGAUGGGUAAACUAUAGGAUAGUGGACUGGUUUAGCAUGGAUAAAAUCUAAGAAGUAUUUAUAGAUAUGCUCCUUCAUGAUUUUGCUAUGUCUAUUUUUAGAACCGAAGAUCAGAGGUGUUAUCAACUGCUAUAUGCUGUGCAAUUGUGCUAACUUGAGUUGCUGCUGCAAGCAAGGAGACUCGUGAGGGACGGAGGAGCCGCAGCUUCAAGGAACAGUAAGCUAGAGAGAUUGGUCGAUGAUAAGACUAGGCAGAAAGAAGCAGAAGGCGGAAGAGAUUUUUUAAUUAAUAAUAGCUCUUCUAUAUUAUAUACCUGAGUUGUUGAUGCUGUAAUGCUGUAAUUUCAGUUGAUACAAUCUAGGCCUGGAUAGGUUAUCUAUUGUCAGCAUUAUUGGAUUAUUAAUUUUGAGUUGAAGUUUUGUUAGCUGAUAAUUAAUCUAGGCCUGAAAUCAGUCCCAA